GAUGAACGCUAGCGGGAGGCCUAACACAUGCAAGCCGAGCGGUAUUGUUUCUUCUGAAAUGAGAGAGCGGCGUACGGGUGCGGAACACGUGUGCAACCUGCCUUUAUCUGGGGGAUAGCCUUUCUAAAGGAAGAUUAAUAUCUCCACUAAUAUAUGUGAACGCGGAUCGCUUUAAUAUUGAAAGCUCCGGCGGAUAGAGAUGGGCACGCCCAAGAUUAUCUAGUUGGUGAGGUAACGGCUCACCAAGGCGAUGAUCUUUAGGGGGCCUGAGAGGGUGAUCCCCCACACUGGUACUGAGACACGGACCAGACUCCUACCGGAGGCAACAGUGAGGAAUAUUGGUCAAUGGGUGCAAGCCUGAACCAACCAUCCCGCGUGAAGGACGACUGCCCUAUGGGUUGUAAACUUCUUUUGUAUAGGGAUAAACCUACCCUCGUGAGGGUAGCUGAAGGUACUAUACGAAUAAGCACCGGCUAACUCCGUGCCAGCAUCCGCGGUAAUACGAGAGGGUGCAAGCGUUAUCCGGAUUUAUUGGGUUUAAAGGGUCCGUAAGCGGACUUAUAAGUCAGUGGUGAAAGCCUGUCGCUUAACGAUAGAACUGCCAUUGAUACUGUAAGUCUUGAGUAUAUUUGAGGUAGCUGGAAUAAGUAGUGUAGCGGUGAAAUGCAUAGAUAUUACUUAGAACACCAAUUGCGAAGGCAGGUUACCAAGAUAUAACUGACGCUGAGGGACGAAAGCGUGGGGAGCGAACAGGAUUAGAUACCCUGGUAGUCCACGCCGUAAACGAUGCUAACUCGUUUUUGGGCUUUAGGGUUCAGAGACCAAGCGAAAGUGAUAAGUUAGCCACCUGGGGAGUACGCUCGCAAGAGUGAAACUCAAAGGAAUUGACGGGGGCCCGCACAAGCGGUGGAUUAUGUGGUUUAAUUCGAUGAUACGCGAGGAACCUUACCAAGACUUAAAUGGGAAUUGACAGCUUUAGAAAUAGAGCUUUCUUCGGACAAUUUUCAAGGUGCUGCAUGGUUGUCGUCAGCUCGUGCCGUGAGGUGUUAGGUUAAGUCCUGCAACGAGCGCAACCCCUGUCACUAGUUGCCAUCAUUCAGUUGGGGACUCUAGUGAGACUGCCUACGCAAGUAGAGAGGAAGGUGGGGAUGACGUCAAAUCAUCACGGCCCUUACGUCUUGGGCCACACACGUAAUACAAUGGCCGGUACAGAGGGCAGCUACACAGCGAUGUGAUGCAAAUCUCGAAAGCCGGUCUCAGUUCGGAUUGGAGUCUGCAACUCGACUCUAUGAAGCUGGAAUCGCUAGUAAUCGCGCAUCAGCCAUGGCGCGGUGAAUACGUUCCCGGGCCU
rnacentral:rRNA from 1 species